CGAAAUAUAGCUUAACAAAAGCAUCUCGCUUACACCGAAAAGAUAUCUGUGAAAUCCAGAUUAUUUCGA
rnacentral:tRNA from 1 species